GUGCUCACUUUGGCAGCACAUAUAAAACUGGAGCAAUACAGAGAAGAUUAGUAUAGAUCCUGCACAGAAAUGACACAUAAACUUGUAAAGCAUUCUGUAUUGAA